rnacentral:siRNA from 1 species
UGAUAACAUUAUGGAGAGUCA